rnacentral:rRNA from 1 species
AAGUGUUAAUUAGAUUUACUAGGGUAUUAUUAGUUAAGGUCUUUAAACCCAAAGAAUUUGGCGGUAUCUCAUUCCAUUCAGAGGAACCUACCCCGUGAUUGAUAGUACACGAUUAACUUUACUUAAUUUAUUUGUUUGUAUAUCUCCGUUAUCAGAAAAUCUUUUUAGAGUUAUAAUUUUCUUAAUUUAUNAUUAUAAAAUAUUUCAGGUCAAGGUGCAGCUUAUAAUUAAGAGGAGGUGGGUUACAAUAGAUUUUUGUUUAUAAUGGAUUUAAUAGUGAAAUACUAUUAAUGAAGGUGGAUUUGAUAGUAAUUUAAUUUANUUAGUUUAAUUGAUAUUGGCUCUGAGGU